GGUGUGAUAGCCUAGUGGUGAAGGCGGCGGUGCCCUUUCACCCGAUCGGGGGUUCGACUCCCGGUUUCACACCA
rnacentral:tRNA from 7 species